CCAGUCAAUUCCGACUCCAGGCCCGGGAGGACAAUUUUAAAGUGUUUCUGCAGACAGACCCUCUGGCCGCGCCGGAAGUGUUUUAUGGACCUGUUUUUAUUCUUCCAGCCCUGUGGAAAGGAGGAGAGCCGCAACCCGGAGAGGGAGCCGGAAAGAAACACUUAAUCACCGGCGUCUCGCUGCUCGUCACGCGAAGAUGGCAGCGGCUCCCCUGGGUUUCAAGGUUCCGGGAAAGGCGUGUGUUCUGCCUUAAGGCGCGCGGGCUGAUGCGCUCUCUCCCUCGGCUCGGCGGCCGGCUCCGGCUCACAGAGCCUCUCUCAACGCCGGCAAGUGCAGCCGGGCCGCCCAGCCCCCAGGCCAGCCUGGCCCCCUCUGGGCCUGGGGUUGGCGAGGGCAGCUGGGCGUCUGCGCUGCCCAGCCCAGCCGCGGAUCCAUGGGGUUUCGCGAGCUGAAAGUAAAGGCUUGAGGGAGUGGGGACACCCACACCGACCCGCGGCACGCAGGGGAGUCAAGCUGCGGCCAAUGCAAGACGAGCAGGGUAGACUACUACUAGCGGUGGCCGGAGGCUCAGCCACCUUCGCGGGAGAGGGGAUUUACCGCCACCCUCAUCCACGCGCAGGCCCCACCGCCCGGUCCUCUCCUCUGAUCCCCGGGCCAUUGCGAAACACGGAGCGAACAGGUCCUCGCCAGCAGCCGUCAUUUCCCGGGAAGAUGGGAACCCACAAGCCUGACUGUGCUUCCUAAGGAUACUAGCGUGCGCGCAGACCUUGGGGGGAAAGAGGGCAGCGCGGUCUCCCCGACCCGGACUCUUCCCUGGCGCAGCACACAACCGCCACGGGCUUCCGAAGCGCCCGAGCGGGGAGGAGGAAGGAAAAGCGGAGGCCCGGGAGGCGGGCUGCGCGCUUGGAAGCCGUGUGUGUUUAUGUGUCUGCGCGCGCGCCCUGGCCGGACGGGUGUUGAGGGGAGAGUGAUCGUGAGCAACCCGGAACCAGCAGUCCCAACCUGGACUGACGAACUGGGCUCUCCAGUCCUGGGCCGUGGGGCUCCAUGCCUCGGGCUGGCGGGACAAGCGGCGGGGAGCCCGGAGCUUCGGAGCCGCCGCCGGGCAUCUAGCCAGCUCCGCGGGAGAAGCCCGGGGGCGCGUCGGGAGCCAGGGGACUGGUGUGAACUAGCCGCCCCCGCAGGCGGACGUUUAGCUCCGGCACCCGGGAGCACUGACACUGGGCGAUAAGGAGUUCCUCGGCAAUCGGCUGUCCCCAGUCCCCAGUCACCUCCGGCGGACGUGACCGCCGGAUGCUAUGCAGCUAGGUGGGCCAGGGGGGCCUUUGCAUUGCCUUCCCUGACCCCUUCCUUGCCGCGGAGGAGCCACAGUAAGAUGCCUCUGUACGACUCUCCAGAACUUUCUUUUGCAAAAUAAAGGCCAAAUGUUGGGCCUUCUAGUCUCUUCAUAUUUUCCUUUGGAAGGUUGGGGUCCAGGCAGUCCUCUCGAAACAACCCCCAAACAGAUCACUUUCAUUACAAAACGCUAGAGAGGCAACACAGCCCUAUUUCUCUCUCUGGUCAAUCCAGGCCCUAUCUCUCCCUCUGGUCAAUCCAGGCCCUAUUAUCCCAAGCUGUGCGGCUUUGGGCAAACCGCUUAACAGUUCGAAACCUCGGAGUCCUCAUCUGUAAAAUAAGACCAAUACUAUUAUCUACCUCGUAGGGUUGUUCUGAGGAUAACAUGCCUCCAUACAUAAGGUGCUUAGAACGCUGCCUCCAGUACAAUGCUACGUGUGUUUGUUACUAUGAUCUGGCACUCCCUUUGGAUGGGUAGGGAGUACAAAGUUCCGGGUUAAAGUUCCUGGAAGUUUACAUGGAGCCAGUGGUCUUGGCAGGGUGGAAAGGGCACUAUUGUAUGGCCACUGAAAAGUGAAGGCCAAAUGCCCUCAAACUGUCUAGGUCUCCACUAGACCGUCCCAUAAAGGCUUGUGUGUGUGUGGUGGUGGAUAGGAGGGAGAGUCCUUUUUAAUGGUGCUCAUUUAGACUGGAUUAAUAGCAAGUUCCGUCAGGGCUCAGGCACCAUUACCCACUCUCUCCCUGCAGCCCUGGGGAAGAGCGCUGGUUUCCAGGACCUCCAGCCUACUCUUCCAGGACACCUUUUUUGAUGGCUGAAGGCCACCUCUUUAAAUCAGUUCUCGGAGGAGUUGGCCAAAAGCCAUGUCCUCUGGGAUGUACUUUGGUCUAACACUGGUGCAGGGCUGGCGUAUGGCAGGCCUUGUCCCUGGGCCGCUGGCGGGCCACAUUUUACUGGUGCACAGAUGCAAAUACCACUUCUGUAGACAGAAUCGGUCAGACUUCUAAUUUCAAAAGGCUUCCCAUUACCUUUGAAAUGGCG
rnacentral:lncRNA from 1 species